rnacentral:rRNA from 1 species
UGGGAKCAAACAGGAUUAGAUACCCUAGUAGUCCACACCGYAAACGAUCAUCAUKAAWUGUCGGCCCGAAUGGGUCGGUGUUGUAGCUAACGCAUUAAAUGAUGUGCCUGGGUAGUACAUUCGCAAGAAUGAAACUCAAACGGAAUUGACGGGGACCCGCACAAGUGGUGGAGCAUGUUGCUUAAUUUGACAAUACACGUAGAACCUUACCUAGGUUUGACAUCUAUUGCGAUGCUAUAGAAAUAUAGUUGAGGUUAACAGAGUGACAGAUGGUGCAA